AUCUCUUCAGAGCUGAACUAAAAUCAGAAGCCAUUCUACUUACUGAACAUGAGAUAUCAUAGCCAUAGGGAUCUACAAAGAAUCGAAAUCAGCACAAUGGCUAAAUUUCUCCAGAAGACAGGUCCAGCGUUCUGGUGCUACACAAUGGCCUCAUUAUGGAUAUGAAGCAUCCGACUGUGGGGAAGAUUUCAGUCCCAGGCCCAGCUGUGAGAUACAGUAAGUUCAAGAUGUCAGAGGCCAGGCCACCUCCCCUGCUUGGGCAGCACACAACGUGCAUCCUGAAGGAGGUCCUUGGAUACGAUGACAGGGCUGUUGGGGAGCUGCUCAGCGCUGGAGUCGUGACCCAACACAAAACCAAGUGACAAAAGAGAAGCACUCUCUCUCAAAACCACAGUCUGAGUGCACUUUGCUGGUAAAGGUGAUACUCUCUGGAUCCUUCUCCCCAAUCCUGAUGCCAGGAUUUCCUGCCUGGAAUCUUUGCAAUAACUCUGGAAUUAACGAGCCUCGUGCCCUUCAAAUAUACCCCACCUUUUAUUCCCUAACAUUUUCUUUCAGAUGAUGGUUUAAUUGUGGAUUUGUGGAUUUUUUUUAUAAAGAUGUAAUAACUUUGUUUCCAUCCAAUAGAAAUGGUAUAUAUUUAAGGUGACAGAUAUGUUAAUUAGUCUGAUUCAAUCCUUCCAUAAAGUAUAUGUGUAUGAAGCAUCAAAUUAUACCCUGUAAAUAUAUACAAUUACUGUUUGUAAUUGUAUAUACAAUAUACAAUUCAUUAAAAAUGAAUCAAACUUAAAGAUUUAAUUUUUUUUCCUGUAAAAAUACACUUCUCAUUCUAAUUACUUUAAAGGCCUAAAUGUUUGCCUGACCCGCCCACACAGGCCUGAAAAAGAGCAGAUCUCUGGACAUUUUCUACUUGUACAUAAAGUCCUCAUUUAAAUCUUUGUUAGGAAGUCAAAGCAAUAAGCAGAAUGACAGUCUCUGUGAUUGAUUUUAAACAGAAUAACUUAAUUUUGAGCUCAUGAAUCCUUUGUUAGUCUGUAAUUUAAACCAUAGACUUUGCCGAUGUCCAUCAUAAAACUGAGCUCCAUUCUCCCUUGUGGGAAUAAAUAUUUGCUUUAUGUUGUACUUCCCUGGUGAUUUCAUGACAUGUGGCAGAAAAUCAAUUUCCACCAAUGGAUUUGGGGUGUCGCUAUCUAUCUGUAUGAUUGGGAAGAAACGGCUCUUUAAUCGGUACCUUACCUUGAGCCAUAUCCAAAUGAAACAGAUUUUUUAAGAGUGUUAGAUGACUCUCAGGGUACUAAAUAAUAUAUAAACAAUGACAUGUAGAACAAUGACAGGAAAACAUU
rnacentral:lncRNA from 1 species